AAGGAAAAAGUUCAGUUUAGGGUUUAAAACCCUAAUGCUGAUUGCAUGAAAAAGCUCAGUUUAGAGUUUAAAACUCUAAUGCUGGAUGAAAGGAAAAAGUUCAGUUUAGGGUUUAAAACCCUAAUGCUGACUAAAAGGAAAAUUCAGUUUAGGGUUUAAAACCCUAAUGCUGAUUGCAUGAAAAAGCUCAGUUUAGAGUUUAAAACUCUAAUGCUGGCUGAAAGGAAAAUUCAGUUUAGGGUUUAAAACCCUAAUGCUGAUUGCAUGAAAAAGCUCAGUUUAGAGUUUAAAACUCUAAUGCUGGCUGAAAGGGAAAAGUUCAGUUUAGGGUUUAAAACCCUAAUGCUGACUAAAAGGAAAAUUCAGUUUAGGGUUUAAAACCCUAAUGCUGAUUGCAUGAACAAGCUCAGUUUAGAGUUUAGAACUCUAAUGCUGGCUGAAAGGAAAAUUCAGUUUAGGGUUUAAAACCCUAAUGCUGAUUGCAUGAAAAAGCUCAGUUUAGAGUUUAAAACUCUAAUGCUGGCUAAAAGGAAAAGUUCAGUUUAAGGUUUAAAACCCUAAUGCUGACUAAAAGGAGAAUUCAGUUUAGGGUUUAAAACCCUAAUGCUGAUUGCAUGAAAAAGCUCAGUUUAGAGUUUAAAACUCUAAUGCUGGCUAAAAGGAAAAAGUUCAGUUUAGGGUUUAAAACCCUAAUGCUGACUAAAAGAAAAAUUCAGUUUAGGGUUUAAAACCCUAAUGCUGAUUGCAUGAAAAAGCUCAGUUUAGAGUUUAAAACUCUAAUGCUGGAUGAAAGGAAAAAGUUCAGUUUAGGGUUUAAAACCCUAAUGCUGACUAAAAGGAAAACUCAGUUUAGGGUUUAAAACCCUAAUGCUGAUUGCAUGAAAAAGCU
rnacentral:lncRNA from 1 species